GGUCCAUUGGUCUAGUGGUAUGAUUCUCGCUUAGGGCAAAACACUAAGCACAUUUGCGAGAGGCCCCGCGUUCGAAUCGCGGAUGGACCC
rnacentral:tRNA from 1 species